GCCCGGCUAGCUCAAUCGGUAGAGCGUGUGACUCUUACUUCAUCGCAUCGAAAGAUCUGAUGUGCUAGUUCCAAUCACAAGGUUGGGGGUUCGACCCCCCCGUUGGGCU